rnacentral:rRNA from 1 species
AAAAAUUUAAAUAAAAAUAUUAAAGUAGUAAUAGUUAAGUUCUUGAAAUUUAAAAAAUUUGGCGGUAUUUUAGUCUAUUCAGAGGAACCUGUUUUGUAAUCGAUAGUCCACGUUGUACCUUACUUAAAUUUAUUUUUGUUUAUAUAUCGUUGUUUAUAGAAUAUUUUAUAAAAAAAAUAAUUUUCUAAAAUUUUUAUAUAAAAAUAUAUCAGAUCAAGAUGUAGCUUAUAUUUAAGUUUAUAAUGGGUUACAAUAAAUUUAUUUUUGGAUAUAAAAUUUAAAUAUUUUAUUGAAAUUGGAUUUGAUAGUAAAUUUAUAUAGAUAAAUAAAUUGAUUUUAGCUCUAAAAUAUG